UGCAAGUCGAACGGUAGCACAGAGAGCUUGCUCUCGGGUGACGAGUGGCGGACGGGUGAGUAAUGUCUGGGAAACUGCCUGAUGGAGGGGGAUAACUACUGGAAACGGUAGCUAAUACCGCAUAACGUCGCAAGACCAAAGAGGGGGACCUUCGGGCCUCUUGCCAUCAGAUGUGCCCAGAUGGGAUUAGCUAGUAGGUGGGGUAACGGCUCACCUAGGCGACGAUCCCUAGCUGGUCUGAGAGGAUGACCAGCCACACUGGAACUGAGACACGGUCCAGACUCCUACGGGAGGCAGCAGUGGGGAAUAUUGCACAAUGGGCGCAAGCCUGAUGCAGCCAUGCCGCGUGUAUGAAGAAGGCCUUCGGGUUGUAAAGUACUUUCAGCGGGGAGGAAGGUGUUGUGGUUAAUAACCGCAGCAAUUGACGUUACCCGCAGAAGAAGCACCGGCUAACUCCGUGCCAGCAGCCGCGGUAAUACGGAGGGUGCAAGCGUUAAUCGGAAUUACUGGGCGUAAAGCGCACGCAGGCGGUCUGUCAAGUCGGAUGUGAAAUCCCCGGGCUCAACCUGGGAACUGCAUUCGAAACUGGCAGGCUAGAGUCUUGUAGAGGGGGGUAGAAUUCCAGGUGUAGCGGUGAAAUGCGUAGAGAUCUGGAGGAAUACCGGUGGCGAAGGCGGCCCCCUGGACAAAGACUGACGCUCAGGUGCGAAAGCGUGGGGAGCAAACAGGGAUUAGAUACCCUGGUAGUGCACGCCGUAAACGAUGUCGACUUGGAGGUUGUGCCCUUGAGGCGUGGCUUCCGGAGCUAACGCGUUAAGUCGACCGCCUGGGGAGUACGGCCGCAAGGUUAAAACUCAAAUGAAUUGACGGGGGCCCGCACAAGCGGUGGAGCAUGUGGUUUAAUUAGAUGCAACGCGAAGAACCUUACUUACUCUUGACAUCCAGAGAACUUAGCAGAGAUGCUUUGGUGCCUUCGGGAACUCUGAGACAGGUGCUGCAUGGCUGUCGUCAGCUCGUGUUGUGAAAUGUUGGGUUAAGUCCCGCAACGAGCGCAACCCUUAUCCUUUGUUGCCAGCGGUCCGGCCGGGAACUCAAAGGAGACUGCCAGUGAUAAACUGGAGGAAGGUGGGGAUGACGUCAAGUCAUCAUGGCCCUUACGAGUAGGGCUACACACGUGCUACAAUGGCGCAUACAAAGAGAAGCGAACUCGCGAGAGCAAGCGGACCUCAUAAAGUGCGUCGUAGUCCGGAUUGGAGUCUGCAACUCGACUCCAUGAAGUCGGAAUCGCUAGUAAUCGUAGAUCAGAAUGCUACGGUGAAUACGUUCCCGGGCCUUGUACACACCCCCCGUCACACCAUGGGAGUGGGUUGCAAAAGAAGUAGGUAGCUUAACCUUCGGGAGGGCGCUUACCACU
rnacentral:rRNA from 1 species